GUGAAUUUUUCAGCAACACAUACAAUGAAAUUAAAACAAUAUAAAGAUUAGCAUUGCUCUUGAGCAAGGAUGAUAAGCAAAUUCAUGGAGCAUUACAUAUGUUU
ensembl:snRNA U6 U6 spliceosomal RNA